rnacentral:rRNA from 1 species
ACGGGGUGCAGCAGGCGCGAAACCUUUGCAAUGUGCGCAAGCACGACAAGGUUAAUCCGAGUGAUUCCUGCUAAAGGAAUCUUUUGUUAGUCUUAAAAUCACUAUUGAAUAAGGGGUGGGCAAGUUCUGGUGUCAGCCGCCGCGGUAAAACCAGCACCUCAAGUGGUCAGGAGGAUUAUUGGGCCUAAAGCAUCCGUAGCCUGCUCUGUAAGUUUCCGGUUAAAUCCAUUAGCUCAACUAAUGGCCUGCCGGAAAUACUGUAGAGCUAGGAAGUGGGAGAGGUAGACGGUACUCGGUAGGAAGGGGUAAAAUCCUUUGAUCUAUUGAUGACCACCUGUGGCGAAGGCGGUCUACCAGAACACGUUCGACGGUGAGGGAUGAAAGCUGGGGGAGCAAACCGGAUUAGAUACCCGGGUAGUCCCAGCUGUAAACGAUGCGGACUCGGUGAUGCCCUGGCUUGUGGCCAGUGCAGUGCCGCAGGGAAGCCGUUAAGUUUGCCGCCUGGAAGUACGUACGCAAGU